UAUUAAGCUGGGUUUUUGGGGGGAAUUCUCUGAUCACAAAACCUUGUCAAACCUGAGUCUGUGAAGAAAAGGGCCCUUUGGCAAUGGAAAAUGUGUGUCAUGGUCUUUCAGAUGAAAAACAAAACGCUGCACACCAGGGUUGCUGCACAGGAACCAGGCAACUGUCCUCCAGACCCCACCACCUUCUGCUUUUCAUAAGCAGACAGACGUGGACCAGCCUUUCUUCAGCCGUUACCGUACGAGAAGGCCGGUCCUCUGGGUUCUUCUCCCGUCCAAUUCGAUUCACAAUCAGUGGACGAACAACUGGGCAAUGUGAAUAAACAAUGGACCCCACGUGCAGACUACUGAAUUCCAUUACAAAGAAUUAUUCAAUUGUCAGCCAGCAAGACUUUUUAAGCCUUGCAGUUGAAAGUUACAUAGUCAUGGGUGCAAGAAGACAGUUACAAGUGCAAUCUGAAAAUAGCUGAAAAGUUGAUCUGAAAGUCUCCUUCAGAGACACUAUUUAGAAUACGCUGUUGACAGCGAAUGUAUGAAGGGUUGAGCCUGGCUAGCAAGGCGGGGUGGGGUGGGGUGGGGGGGGGGGCAGGUUGAUGGCAUGAUGGCACAGGGUGGAGUCACUGUGUUUUUACGUCUGCGUCAGCCGACUCCUCACUGGAACUCCAGACCUGAAGCAACCAAUCAGCAGCACCCCAGUUCUCUCCUGCUGCGUGAGUGAGCCGCCAAUCCAGCCCUCUGCCCGCCCCUGUGCCCUCUGAAAGCCCAUCACCAGAGGACAGGACAAUGUCAAGCCCGCCCCCCCCCCCGGCCCCACCCUUCCUCCCCCAGGACAGAACUGGCUGGCCUAAAUGUGAACCUGUGCUUGACUGAAAUUUAGCAGUGGGGAGUUUUCAGACACCACUUCCUCUAUGAGAUAUGGUCACUUUCUGUUUGCUUGUUUUGCUGCUUGGGUAGUUCUGGUCAUUUGGAUUAUUUCUUAUAAAUGAUUACUUAUUGCUCAUCGUCAGAUGAUUAAGAAAAUGAGGGUACAGUGGACAGAGGUAAUGAGAAGAGAUACCUUAAAUCAUUCUACUAUUUUAUGCUGUGAAUUAUUUCCUCUGGGUAGUCCAGGAUGUAUUCUGGUUGCAGCACUCAUUUCUAAAAUCUCACAUUAAUGUCAUUUCACAUGUAUCCCACCAAGUGUAAUUCAUUGUAGGGGAGAAACUUUCAGGAAAGGGACUCAGUCAAACUUAUUCCAAAAUUGAAAUUUUCAUUUGGGUAAGAAUCGGAUGCUAAAAUAACACAAAACAACCGUUAUCAGUGAUUUAUCACAUAGCUUGUAUUCAGUGAUUCAGCACACACACGAUUAAACAAAUGACAGCAUUUUAAUUGCUAUCAUUCCGUCCGUCUGAUACGAAGCGUGCGAGCGCUACGUA